rnacentral:piRNA from 1 species
UGAUGCAGGCCUUACUAGGUGCAGU